CGCGACAAUUUCACCCUCUACUCUCCGGGUGAAAUAUCUUUCAUUCAUGAAACGGGGAUUCUCCAACGGUCGGGAGACCUUUCAUUACUUGCAGUCGUAGCAAAACUGAGCAGCUGUCGAGUCGAGCGCUCGAUUCGAUUGACAUCGCCCGCUCGGUUGACGCGGCGAAUCUCUUUGGAGAGUACACUCGCGACACUCAGAGUCUCACUCGUGUGUCGCGAGCGUUGAAUGAAGGAGAAUAACGCCACGCAAAGUGAACCCUACGCCACUGACGAUGCUCUUUAUCUCACUGUUUCCGACGAGACGCUUCUCUCCGCGGAAGAGCUCGAAGGAGACGAGAGCGUACCGUAGGGCUGCGAGGAAAGAUAGAGAGAGAAAGAAAGAAAGAAAGAGAGAAGCGGCCGACAUUAUAGUACAAAAUAAUAAUUCAUAAAUUAUACGCGCCACGUCCGUUUAGUGCGGUGGCUCUCCGCGGCUUAAGUAUACAGCUCACUGCACGCGAACGAGACGGACGGGACGAGACGGGUCGGGACGGGACGAAGGUUGGGAAAUACGCAAAAACUAAUCGCCUGGCUCGCUCGCGGGAGGAGAUAGUAGUCAAUCGUCCGUCGAAUCAAUUGUAUCGGAUGGUAAUCGAGCGACAGAUCGACACGAAAGAGCGACGACUUACAUGACGAGCGCUCGGCGGCUUUCAUCUCGUGUAACGCCGUAACCGGUAGCGUGCCCGUUGCCCGUGUGUAAUUUGCAUUAAUUAUCUUCAAACCUCUCCGCACCGUUUGCCGUGAGCAUACGAUGAGGCUCGGAGAUACGGAAAACGAUGUAUCGCGUAUGCAAAUAACGAGCAGGAGAGAAGAUGAAAUACGGACUGGGGACGACUUAUCGUCGGCAAAAAGUGAGAAUAUCGGAAUCGACGACAACGGGCAGAAGCGCGAACCGAUCAUUCCGCGAGACAUUGAGCGUUAUCGUAAUCAAAGCGCAAAUCGAAUUCUCGCUAAUCGUAUCUCGCGUAUCGAAGUUAAAAAUUAGUUUUUCAGGCAUCCUCUCUCUCUCUCUCUCUCUCUCUCGACUGAUAACGUUAGAAGCGAGGAGACGCACGCCCAAAAUUCUUGCGUGCCGUUUUAAAACAAAAUGACAUUUCUAUGAAAGAACAUCAAGCUUGUGCGUACUUGUAAAAUAUUCCGAAAAUUAUUCUAUUUCCCUAACAAUCAAUAAAUAACCGUGAAAUUAAUAAGCAACUCUUUCGUCUCUAACCCAGCUUUUCUCAUGAUUUUUUCACUAUACUUUCAUUUGUUGACUGUCAAGGAAGAAAGAUAAUUUUCUGAGCAUUUUGCAAGUAUAUUCCAGCAAUCUAAAGUGUCUGUUUAUUCAAAAUAAUUUUUUUACUUAAAAAUAACACGCAGGAAUUUUCAGUGUCAUUUUCCACCUCUGAUGUCACGGUCCAACAUGGCCACGGCGAGUAGCCAGGAUCUUUAAUUGGGUAUUUGCAAAGUGCCAGUUACACUUUGAGAACAUGAUAGUGGCAAUUAUGCAGAUGACAACUGUACGAGUUUUAUAUGUAGAAUCAUACUAUACAUUAUAUAUACAGUUUAAUAAAUUAUUUUGUUAUUGCAACUGGACCUUUGGUUCAGCAGUCUUCUAUAUCACAUUCGUCUCCUUAAAUUAAUAACUCAAAACUUUACGCGGCUGUUUGAAAAAUGGUAGAGAAAUUUUGUGCUUGAUUUAAUCUACGAGAUACUUAACGUCAAGCACCUUGUAUAGUUGCCAUUACCAUGUCUUUUUCUCAGAGUAUAGUUAUCAAAUUUGAUAAUAUAAUUUAACAUAAUGAAUGAUUUAUUUCCCGAUUUGCGCGGAAAAUUCAGUAUUUUCAUGCGUUCGGUGUGAAUGUGAACUUCGGGGAAACGUACUUUUUCCCCGAGGCUGGUUCUUUACUGGUAUAUACGACAUAUAAAGCGCGUCAAAGUACCACGAACUUGUGCGGAUAUACGCGUUAAGGACAUAACGCGUAUCGAUUAUCGUUCCAACAUGUACGCAUCGUCUCGUAUCGUUCACAUUGCUGCGAGUGUUACGUGCGCGUUUACAUAUUCCGCCGCGCGGAGGAAAAAAGAGCGACGGAGAGAGGGAGUAAGGGAAAAAGAGGGAGAGAGAGAGAGGGUUAACUCCUCAGUCGUCGCAGGUCGUUGUAGUCGCGUUGAGUCGAGUUAGGCCCAAGCGAGACGAAGUGAGGCGAGGUGAGGCGAGGCGAGGCGAAGCGAGGCGACUCAUCACGCUUGUUUUCCGCCUGCCCGCGAUUAGCGAGAGUCAUCCUGGGGGGCCUGUUCGCUCGCACCUUUCGCACCUUUCGUAUCCUUUCGAAAUGGUUUCUUCGCGCCUCCGCGCCGGCGAACGAGGCGGAAAGGGAUGGAGCGGAUGGACAAGGUGGGAGGCGAGACUCGUCGUCAUCAGAGACUCAGCGCGACGAUCGACGGCAAGGACGAGAAAGUCGUUCGGAAAAUCCUGACUUGACGUGCCGCCGCUACCACCCUGUGGUGCUUCACCGCCGGAUCCGCACUUCAGUCUUCUGCUUCAGAUCGUGCGCAAACAGAAACAAGACCGCCACGCAGUUGCCUUGUUGUACCUGAACACUGCGUUCUCGCGGAAAUCUGCCAGAUACUUUUGCUGCUGGAAAUCGUAAUAAUUGAGACGCUUCUUCAGCAGCUCGAUCUGACGUGCCAUCAGAGGAUUCACGAGAUGCUUCACCUGCGCCGCCCACUUCUUAACCGUCGCCCAUUGCUCCGGCAGUUCCGCCAGCCAAACAUACGUUUCUUCGCCGAAUUGCACUUGAUGCUCCGGAAGAUUUUCCGAGUCUUCAGCCACUAUGGCUUUUUCCUUGUCCGUGAGAGCACGCCCGAAGCGUAAAAACAAAUCCAAGUAUUCCUGUUUGUCGUCCAGCCACAGCCAGAUGGCCGCGAGAUAACCAGUAUGCGAGCCCUGGAAACACCUUAAAGGAACUUUGGGUAAGCUGCGUUUGAUACUCAUCGCAGACCUUUAUCUCUCCCAGACGUUUCUGAAAAUCAGUUAUUCCUUCGAGCACCAACUCGUCGUGAAAGUUCCACAGGAUCGGCUCGCUCGACGGCCUGAAACUCCUGAUUACUCGUCGCGACCACCUCGAUUUAUGACGUCAAAACCGAGAAAGUGCAUGCCCGAAACUCGUAUAAAGUACAUCGUCGAAAUAAAAAGAAUGUAGUUACCUCAGACCGGGCGUCUUUCUCAAUCUGUUAGUGGUGUCCUCGUCGAAGCUGGUAGCGCCCCAUCCAAUCACGACGAACGAUACGUUCGUCGGCAUGUCCAUAGUAUCCAGGGACUUGGUUUGGAUGCAAAUCGGCCUCGCGUUGCUCGUCAUACGCACAGGCGUCGUCAGUUUCAAGAUAGCCACAUCGUGAUAGUUGGUGCUGCGCUUGUACCGCGGGAAACAAGGAGGAAGGAAAGAAGGAAGAAAGAAAGGAAACACAUCAUACCUAUUUCCGCCGGCCGAAGUCCUAUCUUAUCGGUGAUGUUGAAUGGGCAACAGACGAUUUCCGUAUAGUUCUUGAAGCCGCAACGUCCUGUUGAGUCCGAGGACCUCUUGCCUUCCAGCACCUCCCGUACCCUGGACGGACAGUCAUGUAUCUUCUUGCAUACGCCUGUAUUACCAUCCUCCAGCUUGCAAUUGCUGCCUUCUAUGUCAGAUAGAUUUGAGAUUACGUCGAAUUUAUACAUUGCGUCAACAUCGUUGAGCGUCCCUCAGACGCUCUUCGCGCACAAAUAAUUAAGCUCGUUUCGAGGAUAUCGGCGGAGGAAAGACAAGACCAGGAAAAGCCCAGUGUGGGUCGUUGAAACUAUAAUCGACAGAACAACCCGCACUUUUAAUCGCGCGUUAACGAGUCUACUUGACCCACUAUGAGAACUACCUAUAAAUUUCUUUCCUCGUGGGGAUUACACAUCGUUCCCGUGAUAAUCUCGCCGGUUCUCGUCGCACACCGCAAAGCUAUCUGUCGCCAAUUUGAAAGGACUCUACUGAGGCCGCACUGUAAACGCAUAGCAGACGUUAAGAUGCCUUUUUGAUUCUAAAAUUGUAACACCGUUAUACGUGAUGUUUAUAUAAGUAAAAGGUUUAAGAAAGAAAUUUAUAAUUGAAAAGGCAUAUUUUUAGCGUUUGCUAUGCGCCCAAGAUAAGGUCACUGGCUAUCCAUACACACACACACACACACACACACAAAUAUAAACUUAUGGAAUAGUUGAAACAAGUAACAUUCACUUCACUUCAGUACAGUAUAUAUUUUUCUAUGUAUAGAUAGAACAAAAAAUCACAAUAACUUGAAAAUUAUGAGAAAAUAACAAUCACUUCUUGCUUAUGAUUCGAUCAUUUUUUCAUCAUUUCGACGUUAUUGGACGUUCUCAUGAUUUUCUGUUCCAUCUGAAUGUGAUCGCGAGUUUCUUACAAAUUUUUCUCCAAAAUAUAUUCUCUCACGAUAGAUACCGGUGAUUCACACUUUCUUUGAAUUAAAAUGGCUUUAGAUAUAAAUGUCCUAUUGAGGGAUUUCCUUAUUGCUAUAAAAAGACGACGCACGUGUAGGCAUACACGUGUGUGCACGCAAUCGCGAUUGCAAUGGCUGAUCGGCUGAUUGAUAAUGUAACACUGGAAAAUUACGUCUGCAACGACGACUUUCGUCAGUCUUCGCUCUCGACUUAAUUACAUGUGUGAAGAAUCGCACAUUUGAUGGUAGUGGUGUGGUAAAAGCGCCGCCACCGGUUUCGGUGUCCUCGGAUGGCCGCGGGGAAGAACGGAAUGGCAUACCGCGACACCGCAACAGUAUUAUAAUGCGAUACGUCGGAGUAGAAAACAGCGAUUGCACUAACAUUGCAUCUAAUUGCUCAUAGAUUUCGAUACUGUGCAUGUAUUUAAAUAUUUAUCGCGUGCGUGUUAUCGGAUAGAGGCGACGAUGUAUGAAUUACUGAACGAUGCCAAUAAACACUAUCUGGUACACAUCGUAAACGCGUGUAGAACGGAAAACAAAUUAACGUUAACCGCGAUAACGCUACAACCGAACUCUGGAUUUUACUGUGAAUCGCUUAUCUAUUCGUAAAUUUUGAAUCGGCGAGUCGUGCAUAACAACGACAUCGCGGAAUGUGCGGAAUUUUUUUCGAUUUCAAUUAUUCGCCAUAUUUUCCGCAUGGAAUGUAUCAAACGCAAAUAUCAAAUUGACCUAUUGACCUUAGAAUCCACGAUACGUUACUGUCACAAUACAUGUAGAUCCCAGUAAGCAUGAGAAAAAUUCUGUUUCUUCUGAAAACUAUUUGAAAGAUAAUACAAUCGCGUACGUGUUAGGUGUGUAUCAAUUUAGUAUAGUUCAUAUCUCUAUCAAUAUAAUCUAUGUAAUAGUUAACCGUACCAUAAAGAUCCUCCAAUUGUGAGCUGUGCAUAACAAGUAAGAGGACAAGCGAGAUCGAGGACAACCCAAAGCCCAUCUCGGCGACUAUCCGUAGCUCUAUCCACUUAAAAAAAAUAAAAGAAAAUAAACAUACAUACACUCAUA